AACGACGCAUUUCUCCCCGUCCUGGGACGUCGCAGCCGGUCGGUGACAAAGCGGGUCUCCAAGUAGUGGGUGCCCGCGCUCGGACUGCUCGUUUGCCCGCAGGGUCUGGCGGCUUGCGGCGAGAAAGUCGGUAACCCACCCCACCCGUCUUGAAACACGGACCAAGGAGUGUGACGUGUGCGCGAGUCGAAGGGACUUGAACAGGCCCGGAGGCGAAAUGAAAGUGAAGUCGGGAUUCUGCGGACGCACCGACGGCCCGGUCCCUGUCUGAGCGCAUGCGUUACUACCCGAAAGAUGGUGAGCUAUGCCUGGCCAGGGCGAAGUCAGAGGAAACUCUGAUGGAGGCUCGUAGCGCUUCUGACGUGCAAAUCGAUUGCGAGAGCCGGGUAUAGCGGCGAAAGACUAAUCGAACCAUCUAGUAGCUGGUUCCCUCCGAAGUUUCCCUCAGGAUAGCUGGCGCUCGACGAGUCGGAUCAGGUAAAGCGAA
rnacentral:rRNA from 1 species